rnacentral:rRNA from 1 species
CUUGCUCCCGGAUGUUAGCGGCGGACGGGUGAGUAACACGUGGGUAACCUGCCUGUAAGACUGGGAUAACUCCGGGAAACCGGAGCUAAUACCGGAUAGUUCCUUGAACCGCAUGGUUCAAGGAUGAAAGACGGUUUCGGCUGUCACUUACAGAUGGACCCGCGGCGCAUUAGCUAGUUGGUGAGGUAACGGCUCACCAAGGCGACGAUGCGUAGCCGACCUGAGAGGGUGAUCGGCCACACUGGGACUGAGACACGGCCCAGACUCCUACGGGAGGCAGCAGUAGGGAAUCUUCCGCAAUGGACGAAAGUCUGACGGAGCAACGCCGCGUGAGUGAUGAAGGUUUUCGGAUCGUAAAGCUCUGUUGU